GAUGAACGUUAGCGGGAGGCUUAAUACAUGCAAGUCGAGCGGUAAGUUUUUAUAGCAAUAUGAAGACCUAGAGCGGCGCACGGGUGAGUAACGCGUACACGACCUGGCCUAAACUGGGGGAUAGCCUUGGGAAACUGAGAGUAAUCCCGCAUGUGAUUAUGUUACUGAUGGUGAUAUAAUUAAAGCUUCGGCGGUUUAGGAUGGGUGUGCGUCUGAUUAGCUAGUUGGUAGUGUAACGGACUACCAAGGCGAUGAUCAGUAGGGGGCGUGAGAGCGUGACCCCCCCACACGGGUACUGAGACACGGACCCGACUCCUACGGGAGGCAGCAGUAAGGAAUAUUGGUCAAUGCCCGGAAGGGUGAACCAGCCAUCCCGCGUGAAGGAUGAAGGGGCUCUGCCUUGUAAACUUCUUUUGUAUGGGGCGAAAAAAGGGGAUUUAUCCUCGACUGACGGUACCAUAAGAAUAAGCACCGGCUAACUCCGUGCCAGCAGCCGCGGUAAUGUCUGUACU
rnacentral:rRNA from 1 species